GCUUGGUGAAAGGCCCAUUGUUUUCGAUGCAAGUCUGAAUGAACCUCUUGGGGGCGUAGGAGCCAAAAAAUAUCUAAGCGAGUAAAAUUACAACAAGUUCUUCUGACACGCAUCGGAGAGCAGGGUAGGCUUUUCCAGAGGACAGACAAUAUGCCUGUAAUUUCUCAGAAGCACGAAUGUUUAAGGUAAUACUUCAAUUUCCUAUAUAUUAAUAAGCGUUACCGUACAUCCAUUGCUCAUAAUAGCGCACGUUUUUAUCUACACGGUACAGCGGAAGCGGGGCCCACCCAGUUUUAGUGAAAACUAAAAAAAACUUACCUGACGCCAUUAACGCGCCGACAAGUAGCGUCCACAGCAUUUUUAGUCCCAUUUGUACGACUCAAAACGUACAGUAACGAAUCAAAACACUCAACGCUCAACAAAAACUUGUGGGAAAAUGCAUGUUAAGAUUAAACAAAGUAUUCCUUCUCAGCCAGGUAGCGACAUCUCCAUUUUGUCCUUGACACUCGAUACCAGCCCGGCCGGGGAGUUACCUGAACGCCUCACAUCAACAGUCACAUCUUACAGAAGGCGUGGAGCAGGUAUCAAGACAGACAGGCACGUAGACAGAGACGUCGCAUUUGCUAAGCUGACCCCUGCUGUCAAAAGUACUAUCAUCGCGGGCAUGUGUGAAGGCCUGCUCCAUCUGCACUCCAAAGAUAUUGUCCAUCAAGACCUAAAACCAGACAACAUCAUGGUUGAACGCAAUACAAACAGAGCCGUCAUCAUUGACCUGGGCCUGGCCAAGUUCUUCAAAAACGGCCUCAACUCGGCAGCGGACAUGGGAAAUUUGGCGUACUCCGCUCCCGAGGUGCUACAGAGCGGCAGCCAGCGAGACCAGUGCUCAGACGUCUGGGCCAUGGGGAAAAUAAUAGCAGAACUACAUAUCGAGAGCCGCCUGCCCACACAUGCAGUUUCUAGAAAAUUGAUUAUUAAGGAAAUGAUGGACUUCCCAUAUCUGUAUAGUGAAAUUGUAUGCAGUAUGGUGGAGCCGGACCCUGCUAAAAGAGGCUGCAUGGCUGGAGUUAUCAGCGAUGUUAGACAAGUGCAUGGCAGAGGUAGAGAACAUGGGCCAGAGUCGGCUGCUUUUGGAGACACGCAAUGCCACGUGUUGUGACUCGACGUGCACGCGACCGAGGACUCGUCAGUUUGUGCGGGGCGGUGACUUGGAACUAGUGUCUGUACAGAGUCACCAUUCAUUGUUAAUAUUGUGGUGAAUCAAAGAUAUUAAAUCAAACACGUGGUCAUAGUAAAACGUUGGAACGAAUGGCAGUUCUGGCAGCCAUGUUGUGACUGGCCCUUCUAACCCAGUGCAGUGUAAUCAAAUGGAAACUCCACUUAUUUGUUUGAUACUGUUUUGAUCUAUUUUUAGUUCAUUCAUGACACUUUGAUUAUGGUGACUGACCUUAUGUCAUAUCUGGCAAGAAAAUAACGCUUUUACAGUUAUUCAAAUGUUAUUUCAGUUUUCAAAUCUUUCACUUCUAUGAUUUUAAAUCCAGAUUUUGUUUUGUAUUGGUGUCAAGUGUUUUCUGGCUACACAGGGUCCACACUAGAAAGGACCUCUACCCCGAAGACUCGCUGGAUUUCACUCAAAUAAACAGGCCGGAAAUUGUCUUUGUCCCAUUUAUUUCAGCCUUAGUCAGUCAGGUGAAAACACCAUUGUAAGUAUUUACAAAGAAUAAAAUACAAUAAAUAACAGUAGUAAUUGUAAGUACACAAUAGAUUUUUAGCAGAUAUCCAAUCAAUUUAUUUUUAAC
rnacentral:lncRNA from 1 species